rnacentral:rRNA from 1 species
GAUGAACGCUGGCGGCGUGCCUAAUACAUGCCAGUCGAGCGAACGGACGAGAAGCUUGCUUCUCUGAUGUUAGCGGCGGACGGGUGAGUAACACGUGGAUAACCUACCUAUAAGACUGGGAUAACUUCGGGAAACCGGAGCUAAUACCGGAUAAUAUUUUGAACCGCAUGGUUCAAAAGUGAAAGACGGUCUUGCUGUCACUUAUAGAUGGAUCCGCGCUGCAUUAGCUAGUUGGUAAGGUAACGGCUUACCAAGGCAACGAUGCAUAGCCGACCUGAGAGGGUGAUCGGCCACACUGGAACUGAGACACGGUCCAGACUCCUACGGGAGGCAGCAGUAGGGAAUCUUCCGCAAUGGGCGAAAGCCUGACGGAGCAACGCCGCGUGAGUGAUGAAGGUCUUCGGAUCGUAAAACUCUGUUAUUAGGGAAGAACAUAAGUGUAAGUAACUGUGCACAUCUUGACGGUACCUAAUCAGAAAGCCACGGCUAACUACGUG